rnacentral:rRNA from 1 species
UACGGGGGGGGCAAGCGUUGUUCGGAAUUACUGGGCGUAAAGGGCUCGUAGGCGGCCAACUAAGUCAGACGUGAAAUCCCUCGGCUUAACCGGGGAACUGCGUCUGAUACUGGAUGGCUUGAGUUUGGGAGAGGGAUGCGGAAUUCCAGGUGUAGCGGUGAAAUGCGUAGAUAUCUGGAGGAACACCGGUGGCGAAGGCGACAUCCUGGACCGGCACUGACGCUGAGGAGCGAAAGCCAGGGGAGCGAACGGG